rnacentral:rRNA from 1 species
UACGUAGGCAGCGAGCGUUGUUCGGAGUUACUGGGCGUAAAGGGUGCGUAGGCGGUUGUUUAAGUUUGGUGUGAAAUCUCCCGGCUCAACUGGGAGGGUGCGCCGAAUACUGAAUGACUAGAGUGCGGGAGAGGAUAGUGGAAUUCCUGGUGUAGCGGUGAAAUGCGUAGAUAUCAGGAGGAACACCGGUGGUGUAGACGGCUAUCUGGACCGUAACUGACGCUGAGACACGAAAGCGUGGGUAGCAAACAGG